rnacentral:lncRNA from 1 species
GCCAAUGCCAUGACCUCACGUGCAUCGCAUUUUGAGCUUAAAUUUUUGAAAAGCCAAGAAGAAGAUAUCGCACAGCGGACCGGAAGCAGUGCGCACAUGCUCUGCACUUCCCGAGAAUCACCGCCACCGCCACCGCCUGCAACUGAACGGUAAUGCACGGUAAUGCCUCUCUAUUUUAUUUGUUUCUAUCUAGACGAGAUAUUCACAAGCACAGGCGUCCAGAUAUUUAGUGUAUCUGACAUCAUAUUGACGAAUCAUUUUUUUUAAUUCUCAUAUGAAAUUUCGAACAAUUGACCGAUUAUCUCGGGCUCGAACUUAACAUUUUGUUUGGCGCAAGAUAUCAGGGGAAAAUGGAUAGGAGGGAAGAAAUCAGAGAGGAGGGAUUUGGUUUUUUAUCUGAUAAAAAAGAUAGAAGGGAGUUUUUAAUCCUUUCACAUAUAUAAUCUUUAAUGCUUCUAAUUAGAUUGAUUCAUGAACUUUUAUUAUUUUAUAAUUUCCAAUGCUUUUAAUUUGAACAUCUUUUCUUUUAUUUGCUAGCCAAGCGAAGAUCAUCCAUUGUUUUUCCUAUGUUAUCUAUUGUGUGUUUCGUUCUUUCAUUACUUGGCCCAGGGGAAGUUGCGAUAAAUUUUUCAUAUAUACAACUUGUUGACAUAUCAUCCGUAAGCUGUGGAUGGCUUAUAAUAAUAACCCGACCUGAGAGAGUGAAUUUCGACGACUUAAAAUUGACUUGAGUUGAGAAUAUUGAACUAUUAAAAGAUAUAUAUUUAUCGGUUUUACUCAAUUUAAGAUUAAAUUGGUAGCUUGGAGAUGUCUGUUACUGACCUAAUGAGAAUCUGAAUGGUAUCUAAGUUUUCGGUUUUCCUAAUUUUGUUUAUUGAAAAGGUUCUAGCUGUUUUUAUUUUUAUUUUUUAUUAACAUGGGUAUUCGGAUUGCUUGCAUACAUUUCAAUUAAUUUUAUCAAUCCUGAAAUUAAUGACUAUGUAAGUUUCUAGUAGCUCUAAAAAGAUUCGAACUCAUAACUAUUGGAAAGCAAAUCCAAGACCUAACCACUAUUCUCUCAGGGUUAUUUUCUUUUCUUUUGUUGUUUCAAUAGGUUGGUUAGUUUGGGUCCAUUAUGAUGUG